UGAUGUUAACAAACUAGACGAGGUCCUGGGAAUCCUGGGGAUCAAGCUUACAGAUAAAGAAGUUGCAGAGCUAUUGACUAACCUGCCAAUUGAUGAUGAUGGAAAGGUCAACCUGGAAAAAGUUAUGGAUACUGUAAAAACUAUUCAAGAAAAUAUUGAUCCUCAAAACCUAGAAGACUUUCUGAAGGACAUGGGGGUGGAACUGACAAAAAAAGAAAAGCAAGCUCUUCUGAAACAACUGCCAGUUGAUGCCAAAGGGAAGAUGAAUAAGAAAAACAUAAUGGAUGCUAUACAGAAUCUCGG